AUACAUCCUAACCUUGGCGGAGAUUCGGCUCGCUCGAUUGGAAACAGUAAUUGCCCAUACCCACUGUAUAUCAUUCAUAAAGAAAAACAAACCAUAGGAACCCUUCAAUAUCACGAGAUAAUCUAUUCCUUCAUGGAAGUCCUCAUUUGAACGGAAAAUUUAGUGACUGUUUUUAAUUUGGGAUUUUCAUACCUAUAGGCAUUAAUGAUGGAGAUAACAGUCAAAUUUAAGUUAUUUGAAGCAAACAGCAGUGUCGCUUAAGUGCACAUUAAUUGCUAGAACCAACCGGAGCUGAAUGUAAAUUUCCAGGUACAUGUAUGAAUUAUGAAGGACUCCUCCGAGAUUCGGUGGCCAUUUUCCAAAUUUCCAGCCCAGCCGAAUCGCCCGCUAUAUUGUCCAAAUAUAGAUAAAUCUUGUUUGAAAUGUCAUAUGUGUUUCCCCAGUGUUCAAAAUUAGUUUAAAACUUGGUAUAGACAACAGGGCUAUGCCAAAACAAGAUGACAUAGACCUCAUAAAAUUGACAUUGACCGCAACAUUGAAAAAAAUAACACAAAUUUAAAACAUUGUUAUUUAUUUCUAAUGUGCUUAGAAAACAUAUUUUCUUUCCAUUCCCAUAACAAUGUCCUUCUUUCCUCGUAACGUUUAUCAGAUGUCGACUUUUAGAAUAACUCUAUUGCUUUAAACCUAGAAAAUCUGCAUAGACAAUUUGGUCUAUCCCAAUUACAAUUGGCAUAGACCAGUGUCAUUUGACAUAGAUUCGGUCUAUGGUUAAUUUCGAACACUGUUUCCCUAGCUUAAAAUACUCAUGAACUAUUGAGAUAUUUGCCUACUAUUACAUAUUAAUAAAAAACACUUUAUUUUGUUCUCACUAGAUAGUGACGAUUGAACUAAGGAAAAUUUAAAAUGCUGAAAUUAAAAGGAAGAAAAAAGAAAUUCAAGCCGAAAACAAGAAGAAAUAAAGAAGCAAUAAUAGACUCAAACCAGCAAUCUUUGCAAAUGCAAGAAUGUAGAAUCCAGCAGUAAUUACGUGCCCGAGUCCUGCAGUUCGAAUGUUCCAGUACUCGUCGGGAACACUUCUGGACCUAGCAGUAUGCUUAAGACUACUACAUCAAUCAGCAACACACCUGUACCAGUCAGCAACUUGAAAGAACCCUGCUAUACUCGUGUGUCUGUGCCAUACAAUAACUCAGUUGUACUUAAUGGUCAAGAUGUGUUAACCUCUGUCAGGAACACCCCAGUGCCUUGCAGUUAAAAUAAGCCUGUGCCAGUAAGCAACUCGAAAGAACCCUACUGUCAUCCUUGUGUGCUUGUGCCAAAUAACAAAAUUUCGAAUAUAAUUCUUUGAGAUUUAUUUUUAAUCAACUGCUCUAAUAAUGAUGACUGUGCUAUUCAAAAUCUCAACACUCUUAGCCUAUGGUCUUUUCUCAAAGAUUCAGUGUUUGAUGAUUUGUGGAUUCAAAGGAGAGUAUAUAUAUAUAUAUUAUUUGCUGUGGUUCGGAAUUACCAUAGUGCUUAACAGUAAUCUUAUUACAGUUUAUUUCUAGUCAUCAUGAUCUAUUGUUUUAAAAUAUUAAUUAAGCUCUGAUUUUAAUUGUAUAAUUUCAUUUUGAUUAUGUUUAUAACCUAAAUUCAAAUCUUUGUCAGAAAUAAAUCUGUUAUGUUAUUUUGCUUUUUACAUAUCUAUACACAUGGGGGUGGGGUCGGGGGGAUGGAUGCACAUCGAUGGGCUGAUAUAAUUUUUUAUCUUUCUAUUUCAAAUUGGUAUAAUUGUCAAUUUGUGAAAUAUUACAUGAUAACUGUUGUAAGUUUCAUAUAAUGUCCAAAAAUUGUUACAGAUAUAGCACCCCCUUGUAAUUAACCUUUAACAAAUUUACUCUAUGGGACAUAAAGUUAAACUGACAAAUCAUUGGAAAAAAUUCAACUCUACUCCAUGAAGUGUAUUUAAAUUUUAAUAUCACAUGUAUAAUGUGUCUAUUUUUUAUCAUUUUAAAUUUUUUUUUGCAUCCUUAGGAUUAUUAUGAAUUUGUGUUAAUUACUUAUUGAACUACAUAUUACAUAUAUUAUGUAUAAACAUUAGAAAUAUUUAAAACUACUGUACAUCUGUACAAUAUCCUUUGUUAGUUAUGUGAUUAUUAUUAAUGUACUUGUCAACUGAUGAAAAUUUUAAGCUGUUACACAGGCAUAAUUAUGUAUUGUUAAAUACAGUUCCAAUUUUCAAAUACCUGUCAGUUAUUGUGUUCAUUAUUUUUUCAAUCUUGUAUUCCGUUAUAGGAGUUGCUAAAUAUGCAGGUCACAACUAGACUCCUAAUGUAAUUUUUUUGCCUUGGCUGUUGAUGAGGCGUAUUUUCGCUAAAGACGUAUUUCCUAAUUGAGGCGUACUUUCUACAAUUGGAGGGUUUUUGUACGGGUGUAUUUUCGCUAGAGACGUAUUUCCUAGUUGAGGCGUAUUUUCUUUUUAAAGGCGUACUUCUUAAUCUAGACGUACUAAUUUGCAUAAUUCAAGCUAAAUUACGCCAGGAGUACGCCUCAGGUACGCCAGUAUUUUCCAUAGGAUUUGCUGUUAAAAAUCUACCAGGACUUUCAGAAUUAUGGGUACGCCAGGAAAUUUUACAAAUUACGUGAGCUAAUUUUCGUACGGGUACAUAUUACAUAUAUCUAUCUUUCAUGAUUAAAUCAUUUUGUACUGAUCUAAGAUACUGUACUUUUUCAACGUUUAUUGAGCCACCUUAAGGUUGAUCGAUCCUCAUGAGAUGUCAUAGGUAUUUUGCAAACAUCUUAAUAAAUUAAACUUAGCACAUGGUAGAACUAUAUCUUUCUAAGGAAUUUUAUUAACUGGAUGAUAACAAAUCUGGAAAACUAUUAAUACUGAAAAAGUUUAUAAUCCCCAUAGAUAAUUAAUUAUUUAUGGUUUAAAAAAAUGUUGUCAAGGGCAAUAACUCCUUUGCUGGAAUUUCCUCUACUGGAUGUCUAUUAUACAUCAGUUUCCCUGAUAUCCACAAUUAAUCUAUACAUAUUUAUGAAUUAGCAGUUUUAUUUAAAUUUGUUGUUAGUUAAAUUUUGUCAUUUAAACAAGUUUUUAUCUAUUUUCAUUAUUCUGUUUAACGAAAAUGUGUGAUUUUCUGAUGUUGAUGUAUUCUUCUCUUUACGCAUGUUAAAAGGUGGCAACAUGAAAGGUGAAGAUAACAAUACAAACUAAAUAAUAGGGCAAACACGGACCCCUGGCCAUAGACAUACACAUUUUCUUUGGUUAUUAAGUAAAUUAAACUGUAUUGAGUGGAAAUUAAUGUUUUCCCACUUUUAACCAUCAAUAUUAAUAAGUCACAUGGGAAUGGAGCUACCUUAAAAGGAUUACCCUACAUAUUCCCACGAAUAAAUUUGAUCCCUUAUUGUGACCCCAAACUUGAGGACAUGAGAACUAUGACUUGAACGAUCUUCAGUGUACUUUAUCAUUUCUUUAUGUCAUAAAGCUUUCAUGUAAAUUUCCCAUUUUACUGACCCGGUG